AAGUGGAAAUUGAUGCUGGAUACACACCACUGGGUAGGAUUCCUGCAGGGUGUUGGUUGCCCCCAAACUGUCCUACACCACUAAUAGUCUGGAUGGUGUUGACAACAGGAUCUCUAAGCUGAUGCUCCUCUCCUAUUUAAUUCCAGGUGACUCAUUCAACCUCAUGGCAUGGCCUCCAACAUUUCACAGAGGAAAACCAGGAAACACAUGGCCAAGCAACA
rnacentral:lncRNA from 11 species